rnacentral:rRNA from 1 species
UACGAAGGGUGCAAGCGUUAAUCGGAAUUACUGGGCGUAAAGCGUGCGUAGGCGGUUUCUUAAGUCUGCUGUGAAAUCCCCGGGCUCAACCUGGGAAUGGCAGUGGAUACUGGGAGGCUAGAGUGUGUCAGAGGAUGGUGGAAUUCCCGGUGUAGCGGUGAAAUGCGUAGAGAUCGGGAGGAACAUCAGUGGCGAAGGCGGCCAUCUGGGACAACACUGACGCUGGGGCACGAAAGCGUGGGGAGCAAACAGG